rnacentral:misc_RNA from 1 species
CAUUAAUUACUAUAUUUAAUUUUUAACAUUCUCUAAAAGUAAGGUCCUACCUCACUCUUCAAAACGUCCUUAUCCAGAACUAAAGAGCUGCUCAAAAACGCAAUUUGUCAUUUGAUUUCUCUGUUGCAGCCUCUUCUCCUCUACAAUUCUUGUGUUUUACAUCUCAAAACUGAAAACUUUGCAUAAGGGAGAGAAAAAGAAAAGAAAUGGGGAGGAUGGAGUACUUGAAAAUGAGUAAGUACAGGCCGAUUUGAUCAAGUCUGAUCUCAACGAGCUCAAGGUUGCUGCCAAGCGACUCAUCAAUGAUGCCACUAGGCUUGGUGGCCUUGGCUUUGGUACUUCUUUUCUCAAAUGGGUUGCUUCUUUUGCUGCCAUAUAUUUGCUGAUAUUGGAUCGGACAAACUGGAGAACAAACAUGCUGACUUCCCUCUUAGUCCCUUACAUUUUCUUUAGUCUUCCUUCAGUAAUAUUCAAUUUCUUAAGAGGUGAGGUCGGAAAAUGGAUUGCUUUCAUUGCAGUGGU